rnacentral:tRNA from 1 species
GGAGAAUUAGCUCAGCUGGUUAGAGCGCCGGCCUUAUAAGCCGGGUCAUAUGCGAAAGCGCCUGGGUUCGAGUCCCAGAUUCUCUA